CCCACCCCCACGCCAGCUCGUGCUAAGAAACGACACCGACGACAACACAAGCCACGAUGAGAUACGACUGCGUCACAUUAGAACGCACAUCAGGAAGACUGAAGACUGGCCAUACCGAGUAUCCUGUCUUUUACAAAUGGAAGGUUCAGGACCUCCGCGGAGGACGUCACUGCGGACGCGGUGGAAACCGCAAGAGAACUGGGAUCAGAAGUGGAGCCUGAAGAGGGGACGGGGUCGCCGCCAUCUCAGGAUGAAACCUGGACGGACGAGGAGGAGCAAAGAAAGCGGCUUCCUGAGGUGGCAUCUCCUCCCGGUGGAGAUGUGGCACGUGGCCACCUAAAGACCCUGUUUCCGGGCCUCCCCUGCAAGCAGAUGCGGUGUGUGGCUGGUCAUCAGUGCGAUGUGACAGGCUCUGCGUCCACAGCUACGUGACACGGGGCAAUGCACUGCCCGGCGCCUUGGUCUCUUUAUCUAUAAUCGAUAAAUCAACGUUGACCUUAAAGGGCAAGAACACCGCCCGCCUUCUUGCUUCCUUCUUACUAGCUACAGACACGGGAGUGAGCCGUCUUGAACCACGGCAACCAGCCACAUCUGAGGAAGGAUAGAGCAACGAACUGGAAGCAGCCUGGGCCUGUGACACCAAGAGCCUGUCCGGGGACAGCACCAGUCACCACUAUCUUGUCUAAGCUGCUGUUUCAUUACUUUGUUUUGUUUAUUCAGCCCGUCACACAGCCUGCAUGCCACAGUGGUGGGGAGCAAAUGUCCUCGGAGGGCUAAGUGACCUCACCAAGGGCACCAGUCUCUAAGAUCUCUAAGACCCAAGGUGGGCACAGGGAGUCAUUCCUGCCCCUCCUUCCUGGCUCAGGCAUCAGGGUAGGCUCCCUUUUUGUUACAUAAAUGAGCGAAUGGAGAACAUUCCAGGCCACCGGUAUCUAAUGGCUAUCCACACCAUGCAAGGCUGAGCCAGAUUCUGUCCCUAGGACUACGAGGGCUCAGUGUGUCCCCUUCUGCGGUGCCACAGUCAUGCUGGGGAGACGGCCAGCAGGGCCACCAGGCUGGCUACACGACGGACCGGGCCCCGGACACCAAGUUCCCACCGUGCGGCCAGCCCAGGCUCCCAGAGAGUGACGCGGAUCAAAACGCGCCCCACCUUUUCCUGAAGGUUCUUAGGACAUUUUGUUAAGUGAAAAGCUGCAGGUCGGUACCCACGGCACGGCCUCCCUGUCGUUUCAACUCUGCGUCUAUCCCCAGUUCCCACGUGUAUGAAACUGCGUGAGAGAGGAGCCUGAAAUGCCACACAGCAGAGUGACAGUGUGGGGGCCCUCGGGAGGGGUGCGGUGGGGAGGGCGGUCACCACAGAGAGCCCGUCAGCUUCACCCGCACCCUUUGCAUUUCUCCGUGAGAAUGUUCUCGUGAGGAAACAUCUGCGGAGUCAAAAUGCAAACGCGUGCAAAGGGUAGAGGCUGGUAAUCUCUGUUCGAGAUGGCCGACCCUGGUUCUCAAAUGUGGACCUGCCCAGGGUUCCCUGAGGAACCUGUGGGAACCCCGACCCCACCCAGACAUACUGAAUGAGAACCACAUCUGCACUUUUCCUAGGACUCCAGAGGAAGAACAUGCCUGUGGAAGCGCCCAGUAAAUAAAGAGGUCUCCGGCGCCCCCGUGUUCACAGCAGAGGGUACAAAAACAGCCCCAGAGGGCAAAGCCUGUCCUGGGGGCCAGGGAGGAAACAGAGCUCUCUCCUGUGGAGUCUGGAAAAGCUUACAGAGAGGGUGGAAUGCAAGAAAGUAACUGUCAAAACGGCAGGGAGUUCUCAGGCUGCAGGACAGACCCAAGUGCCCCCGAGGAUCUCAUUCUCCCACCUCCCCAGUGCUCACUUGAGCCCAACUCAGGAGCAAACCCCAGCACCAUGGCAGAGCUGGGGCCGGGGCCUCUGGCACAGGGGUACCUCCCUGCGAGCUGCCGCCGCCUGGAACCGUGGCCGCCGCGGCCUAGGAACAGCCCAGUCCUCCCGCAACGGCACAGGGGCCCAGCCUGGCGGCCGCGGGAGCCCCACACCACCUCCCCAGGCUCCUGGGGUGGGAGCGCUCACAGAGGCCAACGGAGAGCACGGCCUACCGCUCUCCCCCUGGCUGCUUCAUGCCGCUGCAGAGGGCCCAGGUGAUAGGCUCCCCUUUCUCAUCUUACAGGAGACUCAGCAUCGUGCUCAGUCUCCGCCUUCUUCCAGCUCUGAGGUCAAUGUGACUUCAUUCGCCUCCUCAAAGAACCUGCUUUCAAAGUCAGCCUUUCUCCCCAGUAAAAUAUCUGAGUCUAGAAAGCAGGGAACAGGUGUCUUGGCAUGCAUGACCUUGGGGUUCAGAGAGAAGGGGCCUCCAGGGUACUGUGCCCUGCUUCAACCAGAGCGGUCCCGCCUUGCCCUGGGUUACAUGCUCCCAGCUGUCAUUCAAAUCAAGGGUUCCUCACCCCACCCCUCCCAAAAAAGGCUUUCAAAGCUGCAUAUUGAUCAGAUGAACUGUGGUCAUCUGAGAGAGAAAGAAAACCGAGCUACUAUUGGCUCAUCAUUCGUUUAACUGCCCAAAGGGCCGUGCAGGGUCCCGGGGAGGGGGGCCAGGACACCCGGAUGUGGCCCCACCAGUCGGCAGCUCA